rnacentral:rRNA from 1 species
GUCUUUUUGAUAAAUAAUUUAAAGUCUAAUCUGCCCCCUGAAAUUAAUUUAAAGGGCUGCGGUAUUUUAACCGUACAAAGGUAGCAUAAUAAUUAGGUUUUUGAUUGAAAUCUAGAAUGAAUGAUUGGACGAGAUACAGGCUGUUUUAAAAUAAUUAGUUAAAACUUAAUUUUUUAGUCAAAAAGCUAAAAUUUUAUUAAAAGACGAGAAGACCCUAUAAAUCUUUAUAAUAAAUUUAUUUUAAUGGAUUAUGUUAUUUAAAUUAGUGAUUUUAAUAUUAAAUUAUUUUAUUGGGGUGAUAUAAAAAUUUAACUAACUUUUUAAUAUUGAUUUUCUUAAAUUAAAGAUUUUAAAAUUUAUGAUCUAUUAUUAAUAAUUCAAAGAAUAAGAUACUUUAGGGAUAACAGCGUAAUUUUAAUUUUAAGGUCUCAUUAAAAUUAAAGAUUGCGACCUCGAUGUUGGAUUAAAAUUUAAUUUAAAUGCAAAAGUUUAAAAAUUAAGUCUGUUCGACUUUUAAAAUUUU